AUACGUAGGUGACAAGCGUUAUCCGGAUUUACUGGGCGUAAAGGGCGUGUAGGCGGUCUUGCAAGUCAGAAGUGAAAUUCCUGAGCUCAACUCGGGCGCUGCUUCUGAAACUGCAGGACUUGAGUGCUGGAGGGGAUAGCGGAAUUCCUAGUGGAGCGGUAAAAUGCGCAGAUAUUAGGAAGAACACCGGUGGCGAAGGCGGCUAUCUGGACAUUAACUGACGCUGAGGCGCGAAAGCGUGGGGAGCAAACAGGAUUAGAUACCCUGUUAGUCCACGCCGUAAACGAUGAAUACUAGGUGUAGGGGGUAUCGACUCCCUCUGUGCCGCAGUUAACACAAUAAGUAUUCCGCCUGGGGAGUACGGCCGCAAGGUUGAAACUCAAAUGAAUUGACGGGG
rnacentral:rRNA from 1 species